CAAAGAACAGGAUGUAAUGUUAUUGACAACAAAGAACAGGAUGUAAUGUAAAGUUAGACAACAAAGAACAGGAUGUAAUGUUAUUGACAACAAAGCACAGGACCCAUUAAUAGUCAAUGUAAUGGUACAGAGUAUAUGGAACAUACAGGCACCUGCCAUAAUAAAAAGGAAACUCGAGUAUGAGGGAUACAACGUAUAUUGAAAGCAGGCGCUUCCACACAGAUGUGGUUCCUGAGUUAAGCAAUUGACAUCCCAUAAUACUUAUGUUCAUGUAUAAAAAUGCCCUGAUACUUUGGAAAAAAAGUGAUUUAAAAGAGGGGUCUCAUAGGAACAUAGGGGGUUUAAAAAGGUGUGUGUGUGUGUGUGUGUGUGUCAGUCACCAGAUCUCAACCCAAUUCAACACUUAUGGGAGAUUCUGGAGUGGCGCCUGAGACAGCGUUUUCAACCACCAUCAACAAAAAACCAAAUGAUGGAAUUUCCCGGGGAAGAAUGGUGUCACAUCCCUCCAAUAGAGUUCCAGACUCUGGUAGAAAUCGGUGCCAAGACACAUUGAAGCCGUUCCAUCUCGUCGUGGCCCCACAUCCUAUUAAGUCUCUUUAUGUUGGUGUUUCCUUUAUUUUAGGAAAUUCAGAGUAGUCCUCCAUUUCUGCACAUCAACUAUGGAUGCAUCUCAUAUGGCACCCUAUUCCCUAUGUAGUGCACCCUAUUCCCUAUGUAGUGCACCCUAUUCCCUAUGUAGUGCACCCUAUUCCCUAUGUAGCGCACCCUAUUCCUUAUGUAGCGCACCCUAUUCCCUAUGUAGCGCACCCUAUUCCCUAUGUAGCGCACCCUAUUCCCUAUGUAGUGCACCCUAUUCCCUAUGUAGUGACACCCUAUUCCCUAUGUAGUGCACCUAUUCCCUAUGUAGUGCACCCUAUUCCCUAUGUAGUGCACCCUAUUCCCUAUGUAGUGCACCCUAUUCCCUAUAUAGUGCACUAAAUUUAUUAGACUCUUUGCAAACUGGAACCCAUACUCCUGAGGCUGCAUCAUUGUAGCUGGGGAUUUUAACAAGGCUAAUCUGAAAACAAGACUCCCUAAAUUGUAUCAGCAUAUCGAUUGCGCAACCAGGGCUGGCCAAACCUUGGAUCACUGCUAUUCUAACUUCCGCGACGCAUAUAAG
rnacentral:lncRNA from 1 species